GACGAACCGUCCUAACGUUGUUCGGAAUCACUGGGCUUAAAGGGCGCGUAGGCGGCCCUUCGAGUCGGGGGUGAAAUCCCACGGCCCAACCGUGGAAGUGCCUCCGAUACUGGAGGGCUCGAGGGGGGUAGGGGCAGGUGGAACUUCCGGUGGAGCGGUGAAAUGCGUUGAUAUCGGAAGGAACGCCGGUGGCGAAAGCGACCUGCUGGACCUCUUCUGACGCUGAGGCGCGAAAGCCAGGGGAGCGAACGGG
rnacentral:rRNA from 1 species